rnacentral:lncRNA from 1 species
AUUGAAUUUACAGAUGAUAGUGGUGGCGGCCUUGCACUUGUAAGCAAACAGUGGUUAACACCACGUAAACAAGAGGUGUUUUGGCCGCCUUAUAAAUUUCAAUCUCAAUAUAAUAAGGCUAUUAAAAAAGGCGUAGUCCCAGAGGAAGAUGGUUCUUGGAAAAUUUUUAAAAUUAAACGCUGUUUUUUUGAAACUGAUGAUUAUAGCAAAGCACAAAGGCAAAUCAAACAAGCACAGAUAACGUCUGAUUGUCAAAGUGAAGUUGAGGAGGUUUUGCCAUUAAAGAGAACAAUCCAUAAACCGAAAAAAUUAAUAUACAGCAGCAGUGAUGAUGAGGACGAGGUUUUAUCUGAGAAGCAUAAACUUCCACCACCACCAAAGAUUGUCAGAUUAAAUAACAAGGCAAAUAAUGAUGAAGCAUCAUCUUCAUCAUCACAAACGUCAAAAAGUAUCCAACAAAGUGCAGCAUCUGAUACACUGAAUUCUUUUAAUGGUGAUCCUCAAACAUCGUACAAUAGUCCAUCUCAUUCAACAAAUAUAUUUAGAUCAUUUUCGAAUAGUACUCCAACUAUAUCAACUGUAAUUGAAAAUAGUUUUCAAGAUA